AUUAAGUCGCGUAAAAGAGGCUCAGUUUCUCUUCGCUUCGCGUGUACUUGGCGCGAGACGCGACUGCACCUCUUGACUGGAUAUUUUCCAUAAUUGUAUAAAAUAUUUAACAAAUAUUUUAUAAACACAUUUCAUUACAGCUAAAGUAUCCGGGUGAGCGCAAAAACACCUUUAUAUACCGCGAAGACCACGUGUAUCAUGUCGAUACAAAAUGGGAACAUAUAUCGAUGUGGUACACGUAAGACGACACACUGCACAGCUUACAUAAGCGAUUUGGGAAAUGACAAGGUACAACUGAUAAAUAAACACAAUCAUCCAGGUUCGCCUUUCAUAGCAGUUCGCAGUUGAAAGUCGAUAACGGAUAUCCAACGCAAGUGAAUAAAAAUGGAGGGAUGGGACCAGAGUGACCAGAACAUAUUGAUUUGUUUAUUUUAGCAUAAACUCCGCUGUACCAGUCCCAAGCCUGGGGUCUCCCAUCACCGAAGAGACGAGAAAGGAGAAGAUGGAAGAGUAACAACCUCGUGAAAAAUGAUUUGUUUAUUUUAUUAUAGUUAAACAAUAUUUAAAAUGGGCAUAUAAUAUACUAAUUUUACCCACAGAGAAAUCAAAAAAUAUUCUGUAAAAAUAUAUUUGAAGAAUAUUCAUCCAGAAAUUAAAGAGGCUGAUUUAAUGUUGGCAUUUGAAAAAUUUGGCGUGGUGAAUGCAUAUUGUGCUAGUAAGAUACUGAGAUCUAUUCCUCGAAAAUAUCCAUAUAUUUUAUUUAAGGAUUCGAAACAGUAUAAACUCCGCUGCUAUACCAGCCCCAAAUAGGGCUCUUACUUUCGACUCUCUUCGAAAAUUCAAAACUUCGAAAGAAUUCAAACAAUAAUAUCACAGUUCGCGGGGCACAAACGUAUUUUUCGAAAGUUCAAAGCUUCGAAUGUCGAAAACUUCAAAGUAAAUCACCAGCCCUAGUCCCAAACCUAAGGUUUCAUCACUGAAGAAAUGAGAAAAAAGGAGGAGCAAGAGUAACAACCUCGUGAAAAAAUGAUUUAUUUUAGUAACAAGAUAUCUAAAAUAUAUCUCCCGCUAUUAUCGAGUGGGAUUUAAUGGUAAUAUUUAAGAGGUUUGACGUGAAUUCCACAACGUAUCCUGCAAAGGCACCAACACACAAUCACAGAAGAUAUGUCUUUAUUUUAUUCAAAAACUUGAAGGAGGUAUGCGAGGUAUCAGAUACUCUUGAAAAAAAAAGCUGAGAAAAAACAAUUACAACACAAAACUGCUAUACAAUGGAAGCGUGAAAAUGCUAAAGAAUUAAUGGAUUAUGGUAAUUAAGGACCUGCCCAUUUAUAUAUAAUUGUAAAUGUUCUUCAAAAAGCUCGUGAAGAAGCUCAAAACGAGAAACUUGGGUUGAAACUAUCCAUGAAUCUUUUUGAUUCAAUAUUGAAUCAAAGGUUCUAGCUUCCGAUGGAGCAUACUUUGAAUAAAGUAACAAUUAUUUUUAAUUGUUUCAAAUCAAUGCGUUUAUUAAAUCAAAUAAUCCGUAAAGUCAUACUUGUACACCCAAUUUUCAAUUAAAAUAA